GACGUAGGGCGCGAGCGUUGUCCGGAUUUAUUGGGCGUAAAGAGCUCGUAGGCGGCUUGUCGCGUCGUCUGUGAAACCCGCGGCUCAACGGCGGGCUUGCAGUCGAUACGGGCAGGCUGGAGUUCGGUAGGGGAGACUGGAAUUCCUGGUGUAGCGGUGAAAUGCGCAGAUAUCAGGAGGAACACCUGCGGCGAAGGCGGGUGCUGGGCUGACACGUGACGCUGAUGCGCGAAAGCCAGGGAGCGAACGGG
rnacentral:rRNA from 1 species